rnacentral:rRNA from 1 species
CAAUAGCGUAUAUUAAAGUUGUUGCAGUUAGAACGCUCGUAGUCGGAUUUCGGGGCGAGCCUUCCGGUCUGCCGAUGGGUACGCACUGGUCGGCGCGUCCUUCCUUCCGGAGACCGUGCCUACUCUUAACUGAGCGGGGGCGGGAGACGGAACGUUUACUUUGAAAAAAUCAGAGUGUUUCAAGCAGGCAGCUUGCUCUUGCAUGGAUUAGCAUGGGAUAAUGAAAUAGGACUUUGGUGCUAUUUUGUUGGUUUCGAACACCGAAGUAAUGAUGAGAAGGGACAGUCAGGGGCACUCGUAUUCCGCCGAGAGAGGUGAAAUUCUCAGACCAGCGGAAGACGAACCACUGCGAAAGCAUUUGCCAGGGAUGUUUUCACUG